rnacentral:lncRNA from 11 species
UGGAAGCGGAGCUUGACCUGUUCCUGGCCAAGGUGAAGGAGGGACCUUGGCUGGCCCAGGAAGGCAAGGAACAGGGCAGUCCCACUUUAGAUACGGCCACAGUAAGGACGUCCCCACCUGCACUCUGUCUUUAGGGGACUGGGGAAGGAGAGCGGGACCCCCUCUUUCUUGACCUUCCACAGGAACCUUUCCUUGCAUUUGAGCCUCCUUCUUUCUCUCUGCUGGCAUGAGCGAGGCAGGCCAUCGGCGGAUUCGUCAGACACAUCAAGGACAGCACUCUCCUGGAGGGGUGGUUCCUGGAGCUUCUGCUCGCCUUGGUGACCAACUUCAUUGAGGUCACAAGGCCUGGGUUGGAGGGGGGCCUGAGAGGCGCUGGGCCUUGGGGAGAUAGCCUCCCUGGGGAGUCCAUGUGCCAUCCCUCACUUGCUGACCUGCCUUUCCUCCUCCUUCCCUCUCUUCCUUCCAGGGCUGCUCAACUUCCUUGUCCACCGUGACCCUUCCCUUCCUUGUCAACCGUCAGGCAAGUUGGCAGGGAGACCAAGGCUAUCCUUACCAGGGCCUCCGCCCUCCACUCCCAACAUGGGCUGUGGGCUUCUCUUCGGCGCUUGGUGGUGUCCUGCAGGCAGAAGAGGUAUCCCCCAGAGUACGCCAAGAAACCACCCACCUGAUGGACUGGAACGCCACGAUCCCCUGUGAGCUUGCCCGGCAGGAAGACCCCCGCUCCAGCUGUGCCACAGCCCCAAAGGGAAGUAGCGUCAAGGAGGUGCUAGUCUGCCCAGCCCCGGCCCAGGGAAGCCCUGCCCCCUUGCAGAAGCCCCGCCCCCACUCUGGGCCCCAUUGUCACCCAGGGGCCCUUGGGAGCAGAGCAGAGCAGAGCAGAGCAGAGCAGAGAAGGAAGACCACCUGGGCCACCCAGGCCCCUCUGAUGUGCUCUGUUCUGUUCUUUGCUGUGUGGAAUUUGGGGGCCUGGAGUGGAGGGGCCACCACCUGCACCCUGGGCCUUCCUCUUCCUCCUGGGCUGGGGCCCGCCUCUUUUGACCUGCGACCUCCCCCUCCCUGACCCCUCCCUCUCGGCCUGGGAUGCCACCACCACCCCCUCCCUCCCUCCCUUCUCAAUGUCACCUGUCAUAUCUUCACAAUAAGCUUUAUAUCAGGCAUUGUAUAUUCAAAUCUUCAUUUAACUCUGCAGGUUCCAGUGCUUUCUUUUGUGCUUGUGGCUCCCCUCCAGGACCCAGAA